rnacentral:siRNA from 1 species
GGGCGUUUUCUGGUGCGCUCUGAU